CGUGCACCGGGUGGGGUCCCUCAGCCUGGCCUGCGGACAUCCCCCAAGGGGUCCCGGGUUGUGAGAGGGUGCAGGCCAGGCUGAGGGACCCCACUGGUGCAGU
rfam:Myotis lucifugus cont2.4569, whole genome shotgun sequence.